rnacentral:rRNA from 1 species
AUACAGAGGGUGCGAGCGUUAAUCGGAUUUACUGGGCGUAAAGCGUGCGUAGGCGGCUUUUUAAGUCGGAUGUGAAAUCCCUGAGCUUAACUUAGGAAUUGCAUUCGAUACUGGGAAGCUAGAGUAUGGGAGAGGAUGGUAGAAUUCCAGGUGUAGCGGUGAAAUGCGUAGAGAUCUGGAGGAAUACCGAUGGCGAAGGCAGCCAUCUGGCCUAAUACUGACGCUGAGGUACGAAAGCAUGGGGAGCAAACAGGAUUAGAAACCCUUGUAGUCC